UAAACACAAAACAAGUGUUUCAACGUCUGCCUCGAAGGCAAUCUGGGAAGCGAAGCAACUCUUACAUAAAGACCAGCUGAUGCCCAAGCUCGCCAGCAGGGCCAUCUGGACAUUCGCUCUGCCACCCUUCCCUCUCUCCCCGACUUGGGAACCGCUGUUAGUUCAUAAUUAAGGAUUAUAAAGAGAAGCUGGAGAGAGCAGUCAGGAUGGGCUAGUCGCCCCAUUGCCCUGGCCUUGGGCAGCCACUGCUGCCCAAGUCAGGGCUCACCCUCUCUCUCCAUCUACUGUCCAAGUCCAUGGUCCUCCUGUGGGGUCCUGGCAGUGGAGGAGAAGCCCCGCUGUGGCAGAGACGCUGGAGCAGAGGGAGGCAGGAACGCCUAAUGGUGACUCUCCUGGGUGCUGGGGACAGACAGCCUGGGUGUGGAUCUCAACACCACCACUUCCUGCUGCUGUAACUGGCCUAGAACAGAAUCAAGCCUCGAUCCCAAAUGAAAGGAAGAAAGAAAAGAUGCAUUAUUCGCCUGGAUGAAAGCCGGAUGUCUCCAGACUCCUCCAGCUCAUCAAAUCUCUGUUUAAGAAACCCUCAAGCCAGCACAUCUUCCUAUUAUUAUCUCUUAUUCCACACUUUAUAUCAGGAUCCUUGUCUAAAAUGCCUGGGAGCAGUUUUAACUCAAUUCCAGAAAAGAUAAGUAGCUUAUGACUGAUAAGGACAAGUAAAUCACUCUAAAAUGAUCUAUUUUUACCCUGGUUUCUUACGUUGACACAGCAGUCGAGCUGACGUGGCAUGGCGUUGCAUCGAGCCCGUAAUUCCCUUUAUUAAAUGACCUCUGAAUGCUA